rnacentral:rRNA from 1 species
AUUGAACGCUGGCGGCAUGCUUUACACAUGCAAGUCGCACGAGUGGCGAACGGGUGAGUAAUAUAUUGGAACGUACCGAGCAAUGGGGGAUAACCAAUCGAAUGAUUGGCUAAUACCGCAUAUUAUUCGAGCGGCCGAUAUCUGAUUAGCUAGUUGGGGGGGUAAAGGCCUACCAAGGCGACGAUCAGUAGCGGGUCUGAGAGGAUGAUCAGCAAGACUGGGACUGAGACACGGCCCAGACUCCUACGGGAGGCAGCAGUGGGGAAUGUUGGACAAUGGGCGCAAGCCUGAUGCAGCCAUGCCGCGUGUCUGAAGAAGGCCUUCGGGUUGUAAAGGACUUGUGUUAGGGAAGCGGUACCUAAAGAAUAAGCACCGGCUAACUACGUGCCAGCAGCCGCGGUAAUAC